AACAUCAGUUCAAAUGCUUCUUGGCCAUUUAUAUCUGCCCUUGGCAAAUUAUAUUUAAUGACCUUCAACCAUUUUCUAUUGGGAUAGUAAUCCUUUUGUUGUUGACUGAAAGAGCUCUCUCUAGUCCAUAAUUUAUUUGACCAUUCACCUAUUGAUGUUGUUUUCCAUAUUUUAGUAUUAUAAAUAAUAUAGUAUGAACAUUUUCAUAAGUAGCUUUUUUUACAUAUCACAUAUGAUUUCCAUUGAAUAGGUCAAAAUUAGAAUAGCAAAGAUUAAAAUACUUGAACACAUAUUGCCACAAUGCUUUCCAUAAAAGCCACACCAAUUUACACUCCCACUAUCAAAUUAUGGGUUAGCCUACCUCAUAGCAAUCCAUUUCACAUCCAAUCAGAGUUGGAUUGGAUUGCAACAGAAUGCAGAUAAAGACAUAAAAGAACAUGGCAUGUAAGUCACAGAGGAUUUUGACAGUCAAUCCUACAGGAUCUCUAGGAGACUGGCUAGAAGAGGAGGAUCUGAACAUUUUGGUAGAACUGAAAUGCAGAGGCACGCAAUAUUCACCUCCUUUAAAACCUGGCCCAAACCUAGCACCUUCAGUGCUGAUUAAAAAAUAUGACUGCUGCUAAUUAAAGAUUAAAAACCCGAUUAACACACCCAACUUCCUACCCUCCUGUAUUCCACCAAGGAAGUCUAACCACGUAUUGCGCAAAUACCUGAUCUCUUAGAAAUGCUAAAUCCCUGUAAAUCCAAAAAAACAAGAACACAGCUAUUUCCUGGCAAUAAUGUGACAGUAAUGACUCCUGAAACCAGGCAGGGAUAACAGGAAAUAGUACUUGCCCUGCGUGUUUCAGACAAAAGCUUAAGCCAGUGAAAACAUGCAAAUUUUACUCAUUCAGUAAAUAAACAAAAAACCUGGCAACACCAAACUUAAACCAAUGGUCUUUCAAUAACCCAAAGUAGGCAGGUUCUCGGUUCUGGGUGCUUUUCCCAGUGAACAAGUCACAUAAUUUGUCAAAAAUUACAGCAUGUGGGGGAAUGGCAGCAGCAGCAAGAAUGCAAACAUGCCAGCAAUGCCUAUGCAGAGAGCUGAUAAGCAAUGUCUAAUUAAUGGUUCUGAAGUACUUCCCAGGUAGAAACCCAAUAGCAAUAUUAAAUAAUAUCAUCAUCCAGUUAAGGCAACUAAGAAUUAUCAGCCUGUUUUUCUUCUUUCAAACACAGGUUACUGAACAAAAACAAUCAUAACAAGCAAAGCUACACCAGUAACAUAUGCUUUAAGUUAUGUGUAUUUAUUUAUGUCAACUAUAAUUUGUAUCUAACUUAAAAGUUCAGUUAUAUGUUUUCCUAUUAUGAUUCUGCUAAUUUUGGUUGUUCUUCCCAACUGUUACUGGUCAUGAUCAUAUUAUAAUCAACAUUUCCUAACCAAUAGCAUCAACCUUGCUACAUGAUACUCUACAACAUGAAAGUUUCUUGCACAUGGUGUUAUAUUUGUCAUUUGCUUUUAGCAGGAACAUUUCAGAGUCUGAUUAUUAAGGGUACAGCUCCAUUGUGUCUCUACACAUUCAGUUACUACUAUUUAUUCUCCUCUUAAGAAAUCUUACUCUUUCCAGGGAUUUUGACAAUUGUGAUGACUUUUAAACCAUUUUACUGACUCAAAGCUCUUUUCUAUGCUCCACGUAUGUGCUUCGAAUUGCUAAUUGGUCACUUCCACCUAAUGACCCACAGAGAGCUCAGCCUCACAUACCCAAAACACAGCUCUCAAGAUUCCUUCAUUCCUAUUAAAACCCACUUCAUUUUUCUUUUAGUAAUAAUAUCACCAGGCUGAUUCACUGAAACUCUUAUGGUAAGCUAGCCUCUUUUGCUUUUCUCUCUUCCCUCCUUCCACUUCCACAUCCAUCUCUGCUGAUCAAGCUUUUAGAAUAUCUGCUCUGUCACCCCUUCUCCAUACCUAUGACAUUGGUUUGGGUCCUCUUCAAUUGCUGGUGAGUCUAUCGCCAUAGCUUACUGCUCUCCCCAGGAUCUCUUCUACUCACGCCUUGACAGAGCUGCCAACAGGCUGUUUCAGAAAUGAUAAGACCACAACACUGUUCCUAAAGCUCUUGCUGACUUUCUGCAGCCAACAAUAUAAAACUGUUCAUGGGCAAAGGUAUGCUUAUAAACGUAGGAGAAUAGAGCAUAUUUAAGACUGUGUUUGCCUGAUCCAUAAUGUUAAAAUAUUUGACUUGUGGCAUAUGGGCCUCUAUUUGCACUCUUGCAUCAUGCUCAAAAACAGGUAAGGUGGACCUGAUGCUGAGGUGACUAAUUACUCUGGUUCUCUCCUUAACAUUUUUUAAAGGAACAGAUUUAUUGAGGUAUAAUUCAUAUACAAUCAUUUUUUUCAAAGAGCACAUUUUAAUAGUUUUUAGUAUAUUCACAAAGAUGUGGAACUAUCACCAAUAUCUAAUUCCAGAAUAUUUUAUUAUCCCCCAAAAAGAAACACUUUGCCAAUUACCAAUCAUUCCCUCAAUAUCCCUUUUUGCUACCCCUAACAACAAUGAAUCUAUGACUCUAUAGAUUUGCCUAUUCUGGAAAUAGGCCUAUUUUCACAUAAAUGAAAUCAUACAGUACAUGGCUUUUUGCUUCUGUAUUCUUUAAUUUAGCAUGUUUUCAAGCUUCAUCCAUUUUGUAGUAUGCAUCAAUACUUAAUUCAUUUAUAUGGCUUGGUAAUAUUCUACUAUAUGAAUAUACAUUUUUUAACCUAUCAGCUGACAGACAUCUGGGUUCUUUCUGCUUUUUGGUAAUUAUGGUUAAUGUUGAUAAGAAUAUUCACAUUCAAGAUUUUGUGUGGACACAUGCUUAAGAUUCUGUGCAUAUAUACCUAGUAAAGGAACUGCUGGAUUAUAUGGGAACUCAAUGUUUAGUUUCUUUGAGGUAUUCCCAAAUCUUUUCUAAAAUGGUUGUACCAUUUUACAUUACUACCAGCAAUGUAUGAGGUUUCUAAUUUCUCCAUAUCCUUGUUGACAUUUGUUAUUGUCCCUCUUUUUUUAUAUAGCCAUCCUAGUAGAUGCCAAGUGAUACCUCAUUUGGUUUUGUGUUUACCCUUAUCACUAAUGAUGUACAUAUUUUCAUGUGUUUAUUAGACAUUUAUCUUCUUAGGAGAAAUGACUGAGUUCUUUGCCUAUUUUUAAAAUGAGUUUUUUUUCUUCUUAUGAGUGAGUAGUAGUAGAUCUUUGCACAUUUUGGUUGAAUAAUAUUCCAUUGUAUCAUCUACAAGUUCCUUCUCAGAUGUAUGAUUUGCAAAUAUGUUCGUACAUUAUAAGUUGUCUUUUUACUUCCUUGAUGGUGUCCUUUGAAGCAUGAAGGCUUUUAAUUUGUGUAAAACCCCAUUUACCUUUUUUUCCUCUUGUCACUUUUACUUUUGGUGUCUUAUCCGAGAAAAUUACCUAAUUCAAAAUCUUGAUUUACUCCUAUUUUUCUUCUAAGAGUUUUAGAGUUUUAGUUCUUACAUUUAGUUCUGUGAUCCAUUUUGAGUUAAUUUUUGUAUAAGGUGUGAGUUAGGGAUCCAACUUGAUUCCUUCAUAUGUGGAUAUCCAUCUUUCACAGCACCAUCCUUCUUCUCCACUGAAUUGCUUUGGCACCCUUGUCAAAAUCAAAUGACCAUAAAUGUAAGGGUCUAUUUCUAGACUCUUAAUUCUAUUCCACAAUUCUAUAUGUCUAGGCUUCUGCUAAUAACACUAUUUUUAUUACAGUUACUUUGUAGUAAGUUUUGAAAACAAGAACUCUAAGCUACAACUUUGCUCUUCUUUUUCAAGGUUAUUUUGACCAUUCUGGGUCACUUACACUUCUACAUAAAUCUUAGUAUCAUCUUGUCGGUUUCCUAGAAAAAAAGCAGCUUGAAUUUUGAUAAAGACUAUGUAGAAUCUAUAGAUCAAUUUGGGCAACUAUUGCCAACUUAACAAUAUUAAAUCUUCUAAUAUAUGUGCAUAGGGUAUCUUUCCAUUUAUUUAGAUCUUCUUUAAUUUCGUUCAGCAAUACUUAGUAGUUUUCAGUGUAUAGAUUUUGCACUUCUUUUAACUUUCUUCCUAAAUAUUUUAUUCUUUUUAAUGUUGUUACAAAUUUCAUUGUUUCUCUUCAUUUAAUUUUUAAAUUGUUCUUGCUAUGUAUACCCAAAAGUUGAUUUUUGUAUAUUGAUCUUGUACCCUGUAACUUUGCUGAAUUCAUUUGUUAGGUCUUUUUUUUUUUUACAAUGGAUUCCUUAGGAUUCACUAUGCAAAAAAUCAUGUCACCAGCAAAUAAAGAUAGGUUUAUUUAUUUGUUCCAGUCUGGGUGCCUUUUAUUUCUUUUUCUUGCCUAAUUGCUGUGACUAAAACUACAGUAUAAUGUCAAAUAGAAGUGGUAAGAGAAAACAUCUUGUCAUUUUGCCUGAUUUUAGGGGGAAAGAUCUAUCACUGUCAAGUGUAAUGUUAGCUCUAGGAUUUUUGAAAAUGCUUUUUAUUAGGUUGAGGCAGUUCUAUUCUUAGUUUGUUUAGAGUUUUUAUCAUGAAAAGAUGUCAGAUAUUGCCAAGUGUUUUUUAUGCAACUAUUGAGAUGAUCACAUGGUUUUUGUCUUUUAUUCUAUUAAUAUGUAUUAUAGUACAUUUAUUUUCAUAUGCACUACCAGUCUUGCUUUCCUGGGAUAAAUCUCAUAUAAGCUUGCAUAUAAUCUUUUUUAUAUGUUGUUGGAUUUGGUUUGUUAGUGUUUUGUUGAGGAUUAUAGUGUCUACAGUCAUAAGACAUAUUGGCCUAUUUUUGUUCCUUGUUUCUUUGUCUGUUCUGGUUAUCAGGCCUUGUAGACUGAGUUGAAAAAUGUUCCCUUCUCUUAUUUUUUGGAAGAGUUUGUGAGGGAAUAAUGUUAAUUCUUUAAAUGUUUGAUAGAAUUCUCCAGGUAGCUAUCUGGCUUGGGCUUUUCUUUGUGGUAAAUUUGUUGGUUACUAAGUCAGCUUUUUUACUUGCUAAAAGUCUAUCCAGAUUUUCUGUUUGUUUUUGAGUGAGUUUCAGUAUUUUUUAUCUAAGAAUUUAUCUAUUUCAUCUAGGUUAUCUAAUGUAACAAUCUACUUGGAUUAAUAUUUGCUGUAUUUCAAUAGUAUACAAAAACUUGGCUUUUAUAUAGCUCCAUUUCCCACCUUCUCCUUUGUCCUUUUAUUAUUGUACACAUUACAUCUUUACACAUUCCAAGUUCAUCAACAUAGUUUUAAACUUACAGCUUUGUCCUUCGGGUAUCUUUUAAAUAGAUAAAGAGAGAAAAAAAAAAGGCAUUAUAAACAAAAGUACAUGUUUACUAACUUAUAUUUUACCAGUGUCUUCUAUUUCUUUGUGUGGAUUCCAGUCACUGUCUACCGAUAUUUCAUUUCAGCCUGAAAGGAUUCCUUUAGUAUUUCAUGUAGGAAUGGUUUGUUACUGAUACAUUCUAUCACUUUUGUUUAUGUUUUAAUUUCUCCUUCAUUUAUGAAAGAUAUUUUGCUGGAUAUAGAAUUCUUAGUUGACAGUCUUUUCUUUCAGUACUUUGAAUGUGUCAUCCCAUGACUUUAUGGCCUUCAUGGUUUCUGAUGGGAAAUUAGGUGUUAAUAUUAGUGAGACCCCCAAAUACGUAAUAAGGCACUUAUCUCUUGCUACUUUCAAGAUUCUCUUUUUAAUUGGGGCAAUUUGAUUGUAACAUGUCUUAGUGUGUAUUUCUUUGAGUUUAUCCUACUUGGAAUCACUGAGUUUUUUUGGAUAUGUAGAUUCAUGUUUUUCAUCAAAUAUAGGAAGGUUUUAGCCAUUAUUGCUUCAUAUUUUCUUUCUGCCCCUUUCUGUCUCACUUUUCCUUCUCAGACUCCCUUUAUGUGUAUGGCAAUACAUUUGAUGGUAUCCUACAGGUCUUUGGGUUUCUGCUAAUUUUUCUUCAUUCUUUACUUUCCGUUCUCAGAUUGAAUAAUCUCAUUUGACCUAUCUUCAAGUUUUCUGACUCUUUCUGCCUAUUCAAAUCUGCUGCUGCACCGUACUAGUGAAUUUUUCCCUUUAGUUAUUGUACUUUCCAUCUCCAAAAUUUCUAUUUGGUUUCUCUUUAUAACUUCUCUAUCAGUAUUAUCUGACUGGUGAGAUACUGUUCUCAUCUCUUCCUCAUUUCUUUAUACAUGAUUACCUUUAGUUCUUUGAACAUACUUGUGGUCACUGACUUGAAGUCUUUGUCUAAUGAGUCCAAUGUUGGGGCUUCCUCAGGGAUAAUUUUUAUUGAGUGCCUCUUUUUCCCUGUGUAUAGAACAUUUUCCUGUUUCUUUGUAUGUCUCAUAAGCUUUUUUGCAAACUGGAAAUUAAAAAUAAUAUAAUGCAGAAACCCUGGAAAUCAGGUCUCUGCCAGCCAUUGUUUGUUGUAAUUAUUGUCUCUAUUUGUUUCAUGUAACUUUACUGAUCCUAUUCUGUGAAGUCCAUGUUUUCUGUUAUGUGUGGUUAGCUGAGUGGUCAGCUAAUGGCUGGGGAGAUAUUUUUUAAAUGCCUUCAUUCACUAAGUCCUCCAGCCUUUGCUGAGGGGAUUCCUGUGUAUGGUGGGGCACACCUUCAAUUUGUCAGCUGUUUACAGUUCUUCCUUGGCCUUUAUUCCAUUUAUUCAAAGCCUAGACGUCAGCCAUAGGUGGGAGAUUAUGGCCUUUUUGGGUCUUUCCUGAGAAAGUGCAUACUUCUGCACUUGUUCAUGCCUUUUAUAUCCCCAGGAAGAUGUACGAGCUUUUGAAGCCCUGAUGGACAUAUCAUUCCCCACCUGUUAAUUUAAAAUUUUUAAAUUAACAUCCUGUUUGCCCCAACUGUAAUUGCUGCUUUAGGCAGUGAAAUGUUAAACAGUUACUGUGAUUGUUUGUGACAGGUGUCCCAGGAAAAAAGGUCCUCUGCCCUGACUGAGUUCUGAAUGAUGUCCCCCUAAGACCAGAACUGCAAAUAGGAGUCUCCAAUGAGCUACCAGGUCAAAUCCUGACAAUUUUCUGGGAAUGAGGCUCUUUGUGGAGCUCCAAACAGGUUUUUCCCCUUCAGUGCUUCUAGGCUACUGGUUUUUACAGCUGACAUAAUCACAAAACUGUUGAUUUUCAAGACUUCCUCAGAGCUGAGAAGAGGUAAAUGGGAAUACAGGGCAAGUUAAAUGAUACAAAUGUCACUAUUCUUACUGAGGUUCAGGUGUUUUGCUCUGAAUAAAUAGUCCUCAGGUUGUUGCAAAACUUUAUUUUAUUUCCCUAUUUCUACAAAUGUUGAUUUGACCAUUUUUGUCAGUGUUCUUACUUUUAUGGAGGAGUAGAAUUUCAGAGGUAUUUAUUGCACCAUUCCAGAAGCACUUCUCUUCCCCUUACCAUUUAUAGAAUAUAGAGACUACAGUCAGAAGUUUAAGUGUUUUUAUCUUACCAUAUACAUUGUUGUAAGGUAAUCUUUGUUGGGUAUCCCACCCCUUGCCAGAGCCUCCUUCCUCAGAGAUAUCUCUAAGUACUUUAAAAUGUUAAAGGUAAACAUCAUUUUUGACUUGUUUUCUGUCAUUAAAUGACAAGUCACGAUUGUUACCUAAUAUAAAGUAGAAUUUCAACCAAACAGAACACAAAGACUUAAAAUUUUUAAUCAAAUAUAUACUGUGAGGGUGGAGGGUUGUCCCAUUACAAAAGAAAUACUCUAUUCUCUAGGAUUUUUUGUCCUAAGAGCAAUUUUUGACACCCUUAAUCACUGUAGAUCUCAUACUCUCCUACCUCUUUUGUUCCCCCAUCUGUAGAUCCAGAGAUUCAUUACUGAUAUUCACCAAUGUUCAGCAAUGAUGACCAGGGACCUGCACUGAUAUCUCAGUCCUAUGACUAGCUUUCACCUUGCUAAGACACAAAGUAGAUAAUGCAAUAGAUUAACCUAUUAACUAAUUAAUCUAUUAAUUAAUUGAUGCACUAGGAUGGAAACAAAACAAUAACCAGAAAGAUAAACUAUAUACAGGAUUAUAACUACAGGUUAAGGUACAAACUUAGGUUCAGAAAGCCAUAGGAUUAAAUCUGGUUGCACCACUCACCAGCUCUGUUAUUUGAGGAAGUCGCUUUACCAGUCAAAGCCUCUGCUUCCUCUCUGUACAUGGACACAAUGUCUACUUUAUCAGGAUAUUUGGCAGAUCAAAUGAGCUAAUAAAUACAUAGCACUUAUGUAAACCAUGGUUUAUAAUAAUCACAGUAAGUGAUAAUAUUAGGUAGUAACCAGAAUACUCCCAUUCCUGAGCAAACUAACCAUAGCUAUAUGAAUACAUUACAGUUUUGAAAAACAAGGUAUGUUUCAAAAGUGAGACCACUGCCUAUAGGUAGUUUUCCAUCUCUCACCAGAGACAUUUCCCAGGCUGAUUUACAUUCAUUAAUCUCCCUCAUGUGAGAUUAAAGAUGGCAGCACAGAGGAGAGACAGAAGCUUCCUCCUAAAACUGGAUACAAUUAGAAAAUAUAGUUGGCGCAACUAAUUCUGAGAGAGCAACAGGAAAGAGGAUGGCACCAGACUGCACACACCUGGAGAAAAGAGCAGAUCUCACUGAACGGGGUAAAGUACCAGAGCUGUGGCUCUGCGGGACCGAGCCCCUCUCCUACCCCAGGUCACCGGCAGGAGGAAGAGAAAUGGAGCAGGGAGGGAGUGGAAGGCUUGGGACUGCUGAAUACCUAGCUCUGGAGAUCUGCUCUGGGAGCACAAACCUACAUUUCAUGGUGCUUUCAUAAGACUCGCAUGACUACCGGGUUGGAAAGUUAAUACAGGCAGAAUUCCUGGGGAGACUGGGAUUCCAGCUGCUUGUGGAAAGCAGGGAUCCUAUCUGGCUGCUCUGGGACAAAAACUUAUACCUGUGUGACUGGCCCACUGGCUCAGGCCGUGGAGACAGGCACAGGAGCCAGGAGCCGGGGAACAGCUCUUUCCUCCCCCCAGGCACCAGUACAGCUCCCCAGUGACCCCAGACAUUGCUUCAGGGGCUGAGCAGCUCCAGAAUAGAGCUUCUGGACACCAGAGGGCACCAUAUACAAAUAUGAAACACCAAAGAAACCUGGUCAAGAGUAAAAUUAUUAAUACAAUUCCUGAGAAAGAUUUAAAUAAUAUGGACCUCAUGACUCUUCCUGAAAGGGAGUUCAAAAUAAAAAUCAUCAACAUUCUAAUGGAGGUACGAAAAAAAACAUCCAAGAACUCAGGAAUGAAUCCAGGUCAGAGAUCCAAUCGUUGAAGAGCACGAUGGAGGGUAUUAAAAGAAGGUUGGAUAUGGUGGAGGAGACAAUAAAUGAAAUAGAAACUAGAGAAGAGGAAUACAAAGAAGCUGAGGCACAGAGAGAAAAAAGGAUCUCUAAGAAUG